AUGGUACUCCUCAGCACCCUCUGGAUGGAACUCCUCAGCACAGACACAGGGCUAGCCCUCUGGAUGGAAUUCCUUAUCACCCUCUGGAUUGAACUCCUCAGCACAGAAAUAGGGGUAGCUGGUAUUCCAAGGACACAGGAGCCAAAGCGGCAACCAUGGGGGCAGGAUAGAGUUCAGUGGAACACCGAAGACCCAGCUGCAGAAGCUGGGUGGGGGGGUGCUCUCUUCGGGGACAGUCCGCCCUGGAUAGCACAUACUCAUCUCUCUGGAAAGAAACACUCAGCACUAAUAUAGGGAUAGUUGGUAUUCCAAGGACACAGUAGAAAAAAGGGUGACAGUGGUGGCAAGGUAGGGUUGAGUGGAACACAGAAGACCCUGCAGCAGAAGCUGGGGGGUGUCUGUGUUCUCUUCUGGGACAGUCUGCCCCGGAUAGCCCAGACUCACCCCUCUAGUUGGAACUCCUCAGCACUCCUUACAUACCUUCUUAUUUCUAGUCACACAAUCACAUAUAUAGCAAUAUGAUCUUCUAGGAUCCCAAGUUUGCUUGUAAAGUCAUCAUGUGUUUCAUGUUUAAAUUUUCUCCUGACUGUCCACUUGAAACCCUUUCAUGUGUUCUGCUAACUCCAAAUUCUUCAACAUCUCCUUCUCCAUUUGAGACCAGGGUUUAUGUAGCCCAGGCUGACAUCACAGUCAUGGUGUGCCUAAAAUUGACCUUUUAACUUCUAGGUUACCAUGCCUACUUUAUAAAGUGCUGGAGAUGGAGCACAUGACUUCAUACAUGCCGGGCUAGCUCUCCACCUAAACAUCGGCCCUUAUGCUUCAUUUUUGAUAGCUAAAAAGAUGCUAAUUUACAAAAUACCCACUUAUUGUGAUUUGUAGCCCUUCACUCUUUCUCAGCAUUUUCACCAGUUAUGAGUUUCUGUGUUAACUGUCUCCACCACAAUCAGAAGCUUCUCUGACCAAGACUAAGAGCGGCACUAAUUUUUUCUGUAUAAACAUGAAUAUUCAGUGGACAGUUGUCCACUUAGCAAAACAACAGGAGUACAUUCUCCCCUAGAUACUAUGACCACCCUAUCAAUCAGAUUUUGACCACACUUAGAGUAUCAGUCAUUAAUUCCCCCUAUAAAUUGGAACUCCAAUCCAAUCAGACAGUGGUUGCUUACCUCUUACCCAUAACAACAGUAUUAUAGUACUGGGAACACAGGAUGCAUUUUCUGUCUGACAGCAUUUGUUUUUUCUACCAUAUGAAAAUUGUUAUAAGACAAGGGGAAAGGAAAGGACCUUUAGUGUACAGUUCUCAGAGUCAAUACAUGGAAACAGAAGUUCAAUGAACCUUUGCCAAUCUACCUCUACGUUACUAGUUAGAUGUCUAAAGGCAAAUUCAUGUGUGUAGCUCUUAUGCUUCUAUUAUUUGCUAACUUGUCACUACUGUGUAUCUCCAGGUUCAGCAAGGAGAACAAGGGCAGCAUCAAUCCUCAUGUAUACAUGCCCUUUGGGAAUAGACCCAGAAACUGCAUUGACAUGAGGUUUGCUCUCAUGAAUAUGAAACUUGCUCUCACUAAAGUCCUGCAGAACUUCUCUUUCCAUCCUUGUAAGGAAACACAGAUUCCUGUGAAAUUAAGCUGAAAAUCAAUGCUUCAACCAGAAAAAUACAUUCUUCUAAAGGUUGCGUCACGUGAUGCAAUCAUAACUGGAGCAUAAUUUUCCAUCAAAGAGUUCAGUUGUGUUCUUCAAGAAGGUGAUGCCUAAGAACAUUGUAAACUUUGGUUUACUUCAUGAAUAACCCAGAAGAAGAAAGGGUUUAGUUGACUGGCCUUGAAAGAUCAUUAUGAACUUUCAUACAUCCAUUGAGUUUCUCAUUAUCAAAAUGUGAUAUAAAGAAAAUGACUACGUCUGUGACAGAAUGAGAAAUUCAUCUUCUGUUGUCCUCAUGGGACCACCUCAAUUCACAUUUGAUUGGCUCCAUCAGUUCUUUUCAGCUUUUUUGAGAAUAACUUAGCCUCUGUAACUUGAUGAGUAAUUUGUUUUUAUGAAAAUAUGAAGCAUGGUGACUUCUCUUAUUAUAAAACUGGAUCAAAUGCUUUAGUUGCAGUAUUCUACAAUAAGCGUUAUACUGAAAAUAUAAACAUUUCUUUGAAAAAAUAAAUUCAUUUACCUGUUUAUUUUUCA